GUUCGCCCACCAGGAGGGUUAGUAUGGAUGCCAUCAUGACGGAUUGGGUCAUGACACCCCAUCUCUCUUUCUCCAACAGCGUCUACUCUCUCUCUUACUCAAACAGGAUCUGCUCUCUCUCUCUUUCUUCAAGUUACAAUCGGCUGAAAUUCUUUACGCUACUGGACAACAAGAAGAAGCAUUGGAUGAAACAAAAUGGACCUAGCUGGAUAGUUGAAGAUUCUCAGAUAAUGACCGAUAUGUGGGAGGAACUUGCACUCCAACUAAUGCAAAGAAAAUGAAAUACAUGAGAGUUAUAUAUUUAAAUUUUUUGAAAUUUUUUCUCUAGUGUUGGAAUGUUAAAAUUUGACGAUUGUUAGUUAGUUAUUCAAAUACUCUAAUGUUUAUGCUUUUAAAUUAGAACUAUAUUUCAGAUAUUAUUUUACUUUGUUGGAUAAGUUUGAUUAAGAUUUUAAUUUAUGUUGAA